GCUGAGUUGAAGGCCUGCCGGGACCAGGAGGAGGAGUAUAAGUCCAAGUAUGAGGAGGAGGCCCACAGGCGUGCCACACUUGAGAACGACUUUGUGGUCCUCAAGAAGGAUGUGGAUGGGGUUUUCCUGAGCAAGAUGGAGUUGGAGGGCAAGCUGGAGGCUCUGAGAGAGUACCUCUACUUCUUGAAGCAUCUGAAUGAAGAAGUGAGGCUCAACCAAAGGGCAGGCUGCAGCCAAGAGAGAGGACUGGGUGGGCAGGCUUCCUGUGGCCAUGAGGAGAAUGGCCAAGAGGGGAAGUCUGUUAGGGUGGCUUAGAUUCUGGGUCAUUCAGUCACUUGACAACCAAUUACUGAAAACUUACUAUGUGAAUUGCUAGGUCCUGGGGAUACAUCAAUGAAUAACCAG
rnacentral:lncRNA from 10 species